rnacentral:rRNA from 1 species
UCUGACGACCGACGACCGAAUUGGUACACCCGUUCCCAUCCCGAACACGGCAGUUAAGCCCUCCUGAGCGAUGGUACUUGGGACGCUGGUCCCUGGGAGAGUAGGUCGCUGCUAGAU